UACGUAGGGUGCGAGCGUUAAUCGGAAUUACUGGGCGUAAAGCGUGCGCAGGCGGUUCGUUGUGUCGGUGGUGAAAGCCCCGGGCUUAACCUGGGAAUGGCCAUGGAAACUGGCGAACUGGAGUGUGGCAGAGGGGGGUGGAAUUCCGCGUGUAGCAGUGAAAUGCGUAGAGAUGCGGAGGAACACCGAUGGCGAAGGCAGCUCCCUGGGCUAACACUGACGCUCAGGCACGAAAGCGUGGGGAGCAAACAGG
rnacentral:rRNA from 1 species